rnacentral:rRNA from 1 species
GACGAACGCUGGCGGCGUGCUUAACACAUGCAAGUCGAACGGAAAGGCCCUGCUUUUGUGGGGUGCUCGAGUGGCGAACGGGUGAGUAACACGUGAGUAACCUGCCCUUGACUUUGGGAUAACUUCAGGAAACUGGGGCUAAUACCGGAUAGGAGCUCCUGCUGCAUGGUGGGGGUUGGAAAGUUUCGGCGGUUGGGGAUGGACUCGCGGCUUAUCAGCUUGUUGGUGGGGUAGUGGCUCACCAAGGCUUUGACGGGUAGCCGGCCUGAGAGGGUGACCGGCCACAUUGGGACUGAGAUACGGCCCAGACUCCUACGGGAGGCAGCAGUGGGGAAUAUUGCACAAUGGGCGGGAGCCUGAUGCAGCAACGCCGCGUGCGGGAUGACGGCCUUCGGGUUGUAAACCGCUUUCGCCUGUGACGAAGCGUGAGUGACGGUAAUGGGUAAAGAAGCACCGGCUAACUACGUG